rnacentral:misc_RNA from 1 species
GAUAAUAGUUUACUUAUAAUUAAUAAUAAUAAAAAAUAAUGGGUAAAUUUAAUACGUAAAAUUAGUCCCAGUGGAAAGUUUAAUCUCAGCAGUUGGUAUACAUGCUUUGCUGUUUUCAAUUGUUUCGUCAUUUCGUUGAUCACGUGGAAGUAAACAUGGUUCGUGACAAGUUAAAAAAUUCCUCUUUCUUUUAUAAGUUUAAACUUGGAUAUAGAGCAGCAAAUGUAGCAAGACGCAUUUAUAAUGUAUGUAGACAAGGUGCUGUUGCAUCUCAACAUCUGUUUCCACCUUCCCCACGUACACUACAAAUGCAUCUUGUUACAUUUGCUGCUGUAUAACCAAAUCUAAACACGUAAAAGAAGAAGGAACGAAUUUCUAACUUCUAGCUGUCUAUAUUUACUGCCACGCGACAGCUAUAUGUCAAAACAAUUGAAAACAGCGAAGCAUGUAUACCAACCACGAAGAUUAAACUUUCCACUGAAACCAAUUUCAUACAUUACAUUUACCAAUUACUGCACGAAAUUCGAUUUCUUGUUAUUAUUAACGAAUAAACAUCACGACCUUUUUUCGAUACUUGAUAGAAUUAUAAUAAAAUGAAUAUAAUUUUAUAUUUGCUAGUUAUUUGGUAUAUUUACUGUAUUCUAUUUCUUUGAGAUUCUAAUUUGUAAUUUAAUUUUAUAGACCACCAUAUUUUACUUUUGGUUUAAAUUCUACAUUACUUAGAGCUUUAAACUAAGAUAUAACAAUA